UCUAAAUGCAGAGUCCAUGUUACAAUUUCUCCCAGCUGUCUCCUCAAAAAAUCUCUACAUUUGUGACAUUUCCUACAUAUUCAAGUUUGUUCUGUUUCCUUUUGCUCCCGGAACAAGGAUGCAUUUUGUGACUCCACUGUUCUUGCUAAUUCUGUUUUUCCAGGAUUCACUGGUGCCUAAGACGAAAUGGUAAAGCUAGGCCAACGCUCGAGGAAAUCCUGCAAAACGAUUGUCUGUUGAACAGGGACCUAUGUCCACACAGCUAAGCCUGUGUACUGAUCUCCUGCCUGUCAACGACUACUCUGCCUAGUACCUACCUGUACCUUCACCGCCAGCCUGUGUACCGACCUCCUGCCUGCCCUUGACUCCUCUCUUGCCUGCCGCUUGCCUGUCCCUCUGCUGCCAGCCUGGUAUCGACCCUGCCUUCUCGACUACUCUUCUCCAUAAUAAACCAUUGUUACUUGGAAACGAGCCGUGUCUGCAUCUGGGUCCACAUCUGAGCGUGAAGCCUGAUAUCCAGAUGAGAAGCGCCUGAAAUGAGAUCAUAAGACGGCAGUAGGAGAUUCUGCCUUUCAGGAAGGACAACUGCAGCAUAACCAACAGCAGUUCCCUGCUCUACAUUUUUAAGGGGGGAAAAACAAACAAUAAAGCAUCUUACAUCAUUUGGCAUGUUUAGAUUGUACAUUUAUAUAGAUAUAAUGAUAAAUACUGACAAAAGUUGUAAUUGGCUAUUAUUAGGGGUUCUCUGGUAGGAGAAACCCUAUUGUUGUUGUUAGUAUUAUUAAGGGGUUCUCUGGUAGGAGAAACCCUAUUGUUAUUGUUAGUAUUAUUAGGGGUUCUCUGGUAGGAGAAAUUCUGUUGUUAGUAUUUUAAGGGGUUCUCUGGUAGGAGAAACCCUAAUGUUAGUGUUAGUAUUAUUAGGGGUUCUCCAGUAGGAGAAACCCUAUUGUUAUUGUUAGCAUUAUUAUUGGUGUGUAAAAUCCUAAAUCCUUAACUCAAAGUCAAUGGUAAAAAAUGCUAUCAACUUGCAUACUGCUGAAAUAGUCCACGUGUAACAACCAUACAGACCCCUGCCCAGAUUCCUCCACCAGGGGCGCUAUAGUAUACAAUUCAAUUUGCACAUUUCAAAAUAAUGCCAUUUCCACCCCUUUUGUCCUAGAGUGCUGAUUUUCAUUUGUACCUGCCUCAGUUCUCAUGUAGAACAAAAACGCCUCAAGAACCCAUGAAGUUCACCAUGAUGGAUUUUUCUGUAUAAUGAAAAUUUGUCAAACUAUAAAAAUCUUCUCAUGAACCGUAUAUCCAAUUGACUUGGCAUACAGGUAUCUUAUACAUGCCUCCCUUAAAUCUUUUCAGGAAUAAGAGAGAACUUGCAAAAUGGCGGACAAAAUGGGUGACUACUGUACAAUAUAUGUAUGCACAAUGGGCAUAUGUGCAAUUCUUUAUUGGAACAAUAACCUAUGCGCUUAAUAUUCAUUGUGCCUUUUGACACCACCCCUAUGUGCAUUUGUUUGCUGAUAUCUCCAAGGACGUCAAAACAGCAGCUGCUGGAAAUCUGACAAUUUUCAGCACAUGCUAAUGCUAAUAAAUGCAUUUACAACUCUUCUUCCUUUGAACCAUACAUCGGAUUUACUUGCCAUUACAUUUUCAGAUUCUAGGGCAUACUUCUGAACAGGGCUGAUAAUGAAACUAGUUGAUAUGUCAAAAGUCGACUGAACAAUGACUUCACAAAGUUAGCCCUUUAUGCUAACCGGUAAUCCGAUUGACCUGACUGUUGGUGUACAGGUGUCUCAUAUGUGCCUCCCUAUUGGGUUGUAAGGAAUAAGAGAUAUAUUACGAGAUGGCGAACAAAAUGGUUGACCAGUGUAAAACGUAUAAAUACAUACACAUCAUGUGUGCAUUACAAUAUGGCACAAUGAAAAUAAAGAUCAGGUAUAUCAUCCACACUGACCAGAUUCCUCCACAAGGGGCGCCACAGGCCACACCCUAAUGCAUUUCUUCCACAAUUAUCCACCCCGAUUGACCAAAAAUGCUGAUUCUUUGUGUACAUGCCUCAUUCCCCAGGAAGUACAAAAAUACCUGAAGGACUCUUCAUGUUUGCCAAGUUGGAUAUUUUGUACAAUCAACAUUUCAUGAA
ensembl:lncRNA